UUCUUAGCUUUGAAAAUACUAACCGGAAAGCACCUUUUUAAAAUGACUUGACGCUUUUUGCUUUAGGGAUCUAUGUUUGUGAUGCCCUUGUUGAUGGCAGAGGGGGGAAAACAACACGGGAAGAACUGUAUUAUUAGCCACAAGCUAAACAUAUUUUACAGCUGCCGAGUCCCUUAUGUAAUAAUAAGGUCAAAAACGGGAUGUAGCCAAUGAAAUGGAGUAUGAUGAGAGACUUGCUCUUUUCCGCCAAACUCGCCUCAAUCCCUUUGAUCGUGGAGAAGAAGAAGAUGAAGAUGGUCCCCGAGAAGGCAAGACGCCCCCACUGCACGAAACAAGGCCCGAGCUGUUCUCUGCGACCAGGACCCACAGUUCAGACCGGACCAUGGACCUUGGUCUAGCUGAGGACCACUUCUCAAGGCCUAUGGGUUCGUUAGUUGCGUCCGAUAUUGAACAGCUGAAAAUGGCCAUAGAGGAGUGUAAAAAGCUGAUCCUGGAGCUGCCAGAACACUCUGAGAGACAGAAGGACACUGUGGUGAAGCUUAUCCACCUUCGUCUGAAACUGCAAGAACUUAAGGAUCCUGAGGAUGAUGAGCCUAAUCUGAGAGUCCUGCUGGAGCACCGCUUUUCCAAGGAAAAGAGCAAGAGUGUGAAACAGACGUGUGACAAGUGUAGCGCUAUCAUCUGGGGCCUUAUUCAGACUUGGUAUACCUGCACAGGUUGUUAUUAUCGUUGCCAUAGCAAAUGUUUGAACCUGAUCACCAAGCCCUGUGUCAGGUCAAAGGUCAGCCACCAGUCAGAGUACGAGCUCAGCAUCUGCCCUGAGAUAGGACUAGACCGGCAAGACUACCGCUGUUCAGAAUGCCGCACCCCUAUUUCCCUGAGGGGCGUGCCGGCUGAAGCCAGACAGUGUGACUACACAGGCCAAUAUUACUGCAGCACAUGCCACUGGAAUGACACCGCCAUUGUCCCCGCUCGUGUCAUCCACAACUGGGAGUUUGAAUCACGCAAGGUUUGUCGCUCCUCAAUGCGCUACCUGGCCCUGAUGAUACCACGACCUGUGCUUAAGCUGAAAGAAAUCAACCCGCUGCUAUUUAACUUUGUGGAGGAACUAGUCGAGAUCAGGAAACUCCGUCAAGAUAUUCUGUUGAUGAAACCCUAUUUUAUUACCUGUAAGGAGGCCAUGGAGGCUCGGCUAUUACUACAGCUACAAGAUCGGCAGCACUUUGUGGAGAAUGAUGACAUGUACUCACUACAGGAUUUGAUUGACAUCUCAAGUGGCAGACUCAGCUGUUCCCUCACAGAGAUCCACACUACAUUUGCUAAGCACAUCAAACUAGACUGUGAGCGUUGUCAGGCCAAAGGAUUUGUGUGUGAGCUGUGUAAGGAAGGAGACAUACUGUUCCCUUUUGACAGUCAUACCUCAGUCUGCCACGACUGCUCUGCUGUCUUCCACAGAGAUUGUUACUAUGACAACUCCACAACUUGUCCACGAUGUGCCCGAAUGACUGAACGCAAGCAGGACGACCUUCCAGAUGUGAAAGAUGCAUAAAUCUGGAGAGGAACACCGGAUGUUGCUGCAUGUUGCACAUUGCUUCAUGUUGUGCUCUACUCGAUCAUGAAAGUAUAACAGAAGACUAGCUUUUUGUCUUUGUCCUUGGUUUGUUUUAUGUAUAAUGUUUAUACUGUAGUGUCUUUAACUUCCGGUCCACUGUCUAAUGAAGCAGGGUACUCAGAAACCCCUCUGGAAAUUAAUAUAUAUAUAUAUUUUUUUUUUAUCCAACUUUUUAAUUCAUACUAAAAUCAGAUGUACUGAACAGUGUUUGUGUGGGGGAUUUUGCUGUGUGCAUCUGCUUUUAUAAAUGUUCAAAAUAAAUUCCCUAUAGAGAAAAGCCACCUCGGCGGUAGGUGAGUAUGCAUGCAAGAGUUGUUGUAUGUUACCUGUUACGAGCCUCGGCUGCAUUAAACUCUACUGCCAACCAUGAAUACAAAACUUUGAGGUUGCCAUAUAUGGAAAAUGAGUUUGAAUUUUAACGAGUCUAACUAUUUUCCAAAGACUACAUUAGAAAAUAAUACUAACCAGAAAUUUGCCUUUCAGCUGCCAGUUGUAUGUUUGUUUUUUUAAUAACAAAAUCUUGUAAACAUGCUUUUGAAAGAUAAAUGAGUUACCUUGCACUGAUUACUAUUUCCAAGCAUCUGUAUUUUAGGGAAUUUAAGUUGGUAUCACACAACAACAAAAAUGUAUAAUGUUUACUAGUUUACAAAAAGAAAUCAAUUAAAUCUGUUACACUAUGUGA